CCUACGGGUGGCAGCAGUGAGGAAUAUUGGUCAAUGGACGAGAGUCUGAACCAGCAAAGUAGCGUGAAGGAUGACUGCCCUAUGGGUUGUAAACUUCUUUUAUAUGGGAAUAAAAUGUUCCACGUGUGGGAUUUUGUAUGUACCAUAUGAAUAAGGAUCGGCUAACUCCGUGCCAGCAGCCGCGGUAAUACGGAGGAUCCGAGCGUUAUCCGGAUUUAUUGGGUUUAAAGGGAGCGUAGGUGGAUUGUUAAGUCAGUUGUGAAAGUUUGCGGCUCAACCGUAAAAUUGCAGUUGAAACUGGCAGUCUUGAGUACAGUAGAGGUGGGCGGAAGUCGUGGUGUAGCGGUGAAAUGCGUAGAUAUCACGAAGAACUCCGAUUGCGAAGGCAGUUCACUGGACUGCAACUGACACUGAGGCUCGAAAGUGUGGGUAUCAAACAGGAUUAGAUACCCUUGUAGUC
rnacentral:rRNA from 1 species